UCUUUUUCUUUUUUCUUCCUUGAUGUGUGCAGAGCUAGAAAAAUGUCUUCCUGAUAAAUGCCUUUUUAUAAAUUUAACUCUAAAUUGUACAUUUUGCAACCGAAAUGAACACAUGGCAGAACAUCUGCAGAACAUCACAAACUGCAGGAAUCCCAAACUGAGGAACAAACAGGAGGAGAGUCGAUCUACUGAAGCAGGAGAGGAACAGAGCAAGAGUCGCAUCAGGCGGAGCAGCGCUGAUGGAGACCGACCAAACUUUUCUCGUGAUUCAGACAGACCUGCAGAGAUUCAUUCAGAUGUUUCUAAGAGAGACAUUCACAGAUCAGAAGCGCUGCUACGUGACGUCAGUCUUAACAAGUGAAUAGAGCGCCCUCUGGCGGCUGGAGAAGAUACAUAUUCAGUGUAGAAAUGAAAUAAUGCACAGAGAAAACAGCUGGAGCGUCAGAAACAACAGACGAACAAAAACCAACAGGACAGAGAGAGAAAUGAAGGACAGAAAUAAAACACAAACCACUGGAUCUCAAGAGAAAAGCAGACGGAGACUUGAUAGAUGGGACAGUAUGAAGAUGUUAAAACCAAAAUUCUCAGAUGAUCCAGACGGGCCUGAAAAGAUUAUUUCAGAUGAUCUCAAGAACACAACACACCAGCAGCUGAAGACUGAGCAUCAUCAUCAUCAUCUUCAUCUUCAUCUUCAUCAUCAUCAUCACUCAGUUCAGCUCCUGGUCUCUUUCAGUGUUUACAGACUCAUCUGAUCACAAACAGACUAAUGAUCUGGAUCUGGACUCUCAUUCCCUUCCAUCAGUGACUCUGUGUCUUCAGUUCACCUCUACAGGUCAUCAUCAGAAUCACAGCAGAGUUAAAAAUCUACAAAUAUAUGUGGCCAGAGGUAUAAAGACAGCAUGUUAAAA